AGUGAACGCUGGCGGUAGGCCUAACACAUGCAAGUCGAACGGCAGCACAGUAAGAGCUUGCCCUUACGGGUGGCGAGUGGCGGACGGGUGAGGAAUACAUCGGAAUCUACUUUUUCGUGGGGGAUAACGUAGGGAAACUUACGCUAAUACCGCAUACGACCUACGGGUGAAAGCAGGGGAUCUUCGGACCUUGCGCGAUUGAUUGAGCCGAUGUCGGAUUAGCUAGUUGGCGGGGUAAAGGCCCACCAAGGCGACGAUCCGUAGCUGGUCUGAGAGGAUGAUCAGCCACACUGGAACUGAGACACGGUCCAGACUCCUACGGGAGGCAGCAGUGGGGAAUAUUGGACAAUGGGCGCAAGCCUGAUCCAGCCAUACCGCGUGGGUGAAGAAGGCCUUCGGGUUGUAAAGCCCUUUUGUUGGGAAAGAAAAGCAGCAGGUUAAUACCCCGCUGUUCUGACGGUACCCAAAGAAUAAGCACCGGCUAACUUCGUG
rnacentral:rRNA from 1 species